CUGUCCCCUACCACCACCGGUCACAGACGUGAGCCUUGAGUUGCAGCAGUUGCGGGAAGAACGGAACCGCCUGGAUGCAGAACUGCAGCUGAGUGCCCGCCUCAUCCAGCAGGAGGGGAGGCAGAGCGGCAGCAGCUGAGCAAGGUGGCCCAGCAGCUGGAGCAGGAGCUGCAGCAGACCCAGGAGUCCCUGGCUAGCUUGGGGCUGCAGCUGGAGGUAGCACGCCAGGGCCAGCAGGAGAGCACAGAGGAGGCUGCCAGUCUGCGGCAGGAGCUGACCCAGCAGCAGGAACUCUACGGGCAAGGUGUCGAGAGGGAAAUGGGUGCUUCCCUUGGAGGGUGGGGUGGGAACUGCGAAUCAAAGCUCCUGCUGAUAUGCCCCGUCUGCACUUUCACCCCAGCCCUGCAAGAAAAGGUGGCUGAAGUGGAAACUCGGCUGCGGGAGCAACUCUCAGACACAGAGAGGAGGCUGAACGAGGCUCGGAGGGAGCAUGCCAAGGCCGGCCACCUUGCAGCAGGAAGGUCUCCUCUCCCGUUACAAGCAGCAGCGACUGUUGACAGUUCUUCCUUCCCUACUG
rnacentral:lncRNA from 10 species